CAAAGUCGCCAAUUGUGCGCCAAUUAAGUCUGCCAAUUGUCUAAUAUAGAGACAUUUGAUGAAGAAAACAAUUCAAAACAAGAAGAAAUAAAAUUACGUAGAAAAAAGAUUAUUAAAAAUUAUUAAAAGUAGAUUUAAAAGUAGUGAUAAAAAUGAAAAUUCUAAGUUUUCAUUGAAUACGCACCUACAAAAUUGUCCGUUUGAUGACGCGUUGUUCAGCCUAGCUUUGUUUUGUUUUCUUUUUUUUUGGUUUCGCUUAAAGAUAUCGAAAAUUUCAUUUUCGCAUUUUUUGAUUUUCUUGUCAAACGGAACAUUCCCCUAAAAGAUUUUUGCUUCUAAUAAGUUUUCCAGUUUUUUUUUUUUGUUCUUUAAAGCUAUUUCACAUGUUUUCUGACGUGUUAUUUGUGUGUAUAUUUUUUCACUAUUGCUUGGUUUUUCAAGACUAAAUUUCUUGCUAUAGUUUUUUUUUGUUUUACUUUUGAUCUCAUCAAAAUUUUCACAUAUUUUUGUGGCACCUUUUUUCCACCCCCAAACACCAAAAUCUGCCAGUUUAAUUGAAACAUGUUAGUAAUUUCCGUGUUACUCAAAUGCUUUUAAAACCAUAAAGUACUAAAUAAUUGGGGGAUUUCUUGGUCAAAUUUCCGAGUUUAGUUAGACUCAAAGGAUGGGCUGUGACACCUUCUUGAGAUUAGACAAGUCUGAGUGGGGCUUUUGAGAAAAGAUGAUGUCUGGUGGGCUUUGUCAGGGGGUGGCGUUGACGGUUUGGGGCUCUUUUGGCUGCCUGGCUCCAGAUCGUAGAAAGACAGAGAGAGAGAGAGAGAGAGGGAUUGACUUUAAGGGUUGUCCCGCGUUUUCUCUGAACGGCUUUUUCGAAUUUAUCGCUUCGUUUUUCUUGGUGAUGUAGUUUCAGCAAUACAAGGGCUAUUUCUGACGUUUUUUUUCGCAGUUUUGAACUCUUCCUAAUCUAGUUUUCGGACGGGGACCGUUUUUUUCAGCACUGUUGCAUUGUCCUCGUGCUUUUUUCUGGGGGUUUUGGGGAGUAUUUUUCUUUUGUUCUAGACUUGGGUAGCGGUUUGAUGUGGUUUUUGAGUUUCAGGGUUGCAACAUUUAGAGUGCUUCUGGUCAAGUGGGGUGGGGGUGACUUUGGUCGAAGGGUAGAUGUCUACAAGACACCCUAAUUGUAUUUAUGUUGUGAAUACUAAAAUGGCCAAACUAUCGAUGGUAUUUCAAGUUUCUCCAAGUAAUUUUCAAGUGGCGUCUUCGUCCUCACACCCCGAGAAUCCUUCAAUUUAUUAAAUACAUUGUGAAAUAUUAAUCAAAGUCCACCCUCUUUUCCUCGGUGGAGAGACUUUUGGGCAUGGCGUCUGACGGUGGAAUUGGUUAGAAUUUUGCAAGGGACCUUCAGCAAUUUACCACCCCUUUUGUGCAACCCAUUCAAGGAAUUUCGCAUCAAUUUGUCUACGCAGUGUUUUGCUUCGUUUUUUUUUUUCUUCUUCAAAGAAAAGUAAAUAUAAUUUGUUAAUUUUCAUGCGCUCAGAGACGCUCUUCAAUUGGCGGGAAAUGAUAUGUAAUUCACAUUAUUACUUUUGAUUCCUUUCUGGUCAGCGCGGGAAGGAUGGGAUGAAAACCAGAAGGCCCACCCCUUUUGCAGCACUAUUCGUCCAAAUCUAUUUCCGUUCGAAAUUACUUCAGAUACGGCCAGACCCUCUCCUGAAGAUUGAGAGAUAUUUCAGCAUGAAUUUCCGCCCUUGGAUGGGGUGCUGUGCAAUUUGCUGAGGCUCAAAUGCGGGAAAUCUCAAGACUCCCAAGUGCGGAUCUCGGGGUUUGGGACGCGCAAACAAAGACCUUCUCCAGACUGCGAGGGGACAUGCAACGUUAGUCUUUUUCCUAAUGGCUGGGGCGUCUGAUUUGGGGUGCGGGCCAGGGGGGAAGGUGCGUCCAGGCGGGGGUGCGAGACUCGAGGACAUGUGAGAAAAUGGGGAGAAGGUGAAUGAUAAUCACAACAUCAAAACUUCGCGGUUCAGUCAGGAGUGUGUGUGUGUUUGUGUGCACGGAAAAUUCGAUGGAUGCUCGAGCGGCGAUUUGUUGGGCCGAAAACCGAAAAUAUAGGGGACCAUUGAAGGCCGGUGAAGCAUCAAAAGACAUCACUUUUAUCCGAAAUCUAUGGGCCGAGGAUUUGCUUAUGCUUAAGUAUGAAAUUCCGCUUGGAAGACAACCGAUUGUGAGACGCAAUUUCAAUUAACGUGUACCUUUUUUGGGGGUGUGGGAAAUUACAAAUUAUGUUUUUGCUUUGUCAAAUUUGUCACGAAACGAAAAACCGAUGUGUCUCUAUCCAAAAACGAUACUUUCGGGGUUUUUUUUUGGUUCUUAUUAUGCUUUUCUGGUCCAUAUUGAGAAAUUUUGCUGUGAUUUUUUUUUGGAUAAAAUUUUGGCGGAAGCAAAAGCGAGAUCAGGGAAUUUUUAUACAAGCACUGAGUUGGAUUAAACCACCCCUGGCUAAACCCUAAACCUCGCAGUGGCUCAAAAAUAAAUCUAUGCUUUUCGAUACCAAAUUAUUUCUUCAAUUUGUAAUUUCCCGUCAUUUUUGCUUGAUUUCAAGGGUGAUUUGAAUUUUGCGAGAAAUUUUGCAACUGCCGCUCGAGUGGGUUUUCUUUUUUUUUUCUAACUAUUUUCUAACUACAUCACCGUAUGAAUAUCAUGACUUUUUUUCUAUCAAUAUGGGCAAAAGAUAAGUAUUUUGGCAAAUAUUUUUGCUUUGCAAUGUUAGAAUGCAAUCGGAUUAUAAUUAAAGCUAUAAAAAUAAAAUCCGCACGCAAUAUAAAUUCUGGAAGAGAUAAAAUAGUAUUAGUUUGAGCAUUAAUAAGUUAUAUCAUCACUAAUUAAUUAACGAAACCUAAUUAAACGCUAUUUUUAUUAUUCAACUUUAUUAAAUCUGACCACUUUUCCGUGUAAACUGAAUUUUGGCGGAAUUUUUGUCUUCUAUCUAGAGUGUAAUUUUUUUUUUCACUUUUCUUUUGAUUGUGCACAAUUUUGAGGUUAUGCUCUGGAUAUGAAGAUAUGUCCUAACCUAACAAUUUCUUAAUCCCUUCGAGUCCAUUGAGAAAUUGGAAUUUUCGCCGUGUUUUUGCAUGUUAGUUGGAUGUGCAACAAAAUUCUGUCUAUUUCUUCAUUGUAACAAAUAUAAAUUUUCACACUAUAAAAAUAUCUAUGUUAAAUAUAUUCUUUCCAACUUGCGUAAAUAUGGUUUCUCUCGAAAAUUACUAGCACCAGUCAGUUUCGUGAAGAUUCAUUUGUUCUCUCGUUAAAUUAGGAUGAAUAUUUCAUGUUUUUUCUUGUGGUUUGUUUUUGAAUUUCCACUGCAUCUUUUGAGGUUAGUUUUCGCUGCCCUAUAUAUAUAAUUUAAUCUUCCUUCGAUGUCCCAAUACUUCACUUAAAUCUUAUUGUUUCUCUGUCAUCUCGCGAGAUGGACUGAAAGGGAUUAAGAAUUAUCGUCUAUUUUGCUUCAAUUUCGCUCUGAGUUUUAUGUAUUUUUUUUGGUUUUCCUUUUUUGCGUUCUAAACAGACAAAUUGAAAGUUCUCUAAACAUGAUUUUGCCCCAUUUUGUGAGAAACACUGCCAAAUUAUCGUGGUCAGCAUUUUCUAAUUGAUGGAAUAAUAAAAAUAUCCUCAAUAUUCAUGCAUUUUCAGAUGCUUAAGUAAUAAGAUUCGAGAAUCUCUCAUUUCUAUGUGAUUGUGACGCUUAAUUUUUGAAAUUUCGAUACAUUCCAAAAACAAGCUUUCCCAGGGGUGAAGAAUUUUCAAUUUUGUCUGACAUUUUGUGGGCUCUUUUGAUUGGCUUCUCUGCUCAGGUACAAUUCCACCAAAUAUUUUUUAAUCUGUCGAAAGAGUGUUCUUUUUUGUCAUGUUCAGCUUCCUCUAUCAUUUGGUAUUAAAUUCAAUAGAUUCUGAUUGUGUGGCGUCAUUUAGUCAAAAAGAAGAAAUUGUUGUUGGUAAAAGGUGAAAUGAUAAAUAGUAAAUGCUUAGCAAACGUAGGCUAUGUUUGGUCUGGAGGUUAAACAAUUACAAGCUAGCAAAUGCUAAAAAGUGACUAAAGGCAAGUAAUAUAGGUAAAAGUAUAAAGAGUAAAAAGAUGAUCCUUGCGAGGAUGAUACUUAGCGGAGCACGGCGUGCCCGUGAAUCCUGUGAAGUCUCCGGUGCUGAGCUUUGGCGCGCUUCUGUGAAGGGGAAUUGAGGGCGCUUCCCCUCGUUCUGCACUUCUCCUGCGCUGUGCGUGUUGACUGUGUUGGUGUUCCGGAACUUCUCCUUCGGCUGACUCGAAGACGGCUGCAUAUCUCCUCCCAGGAUACGCUCAUCUUUGCUGGGUGCUUCUUGCUGCUGUGUGAGAAUUUCUCCUCCGAGGUUCGUCUCCUCCGUGGAACCGUGUCCUUCUUCAGGAAAAGAUGCAUUCGUGGUGGUUCUAGUGCGCUGGUGUUGGUGAUUCUGUGGGAAUAUCCUCAUGCAUUCCUUUUCCAUGCUUGUGGGCCGGGAUGUCCGUGUUUCCGAUUUGGUCGUCGCUGGAUAUUUCAGUCGGUGUGUGUGUGUGUGUCCGAGGGUCGGUGAAUUUUCCAUCCUGCUUCCUCCUGGCUGUCCCUUUUGGACUCUGGAUGCUCUGACUUAUCGAUCCAUUUCUCACAUUUUCUCAAUGGUGUCUCUUUGCGUGUCCUCGCAUUUAUCUUUCAAUUUUCUUUGCCUCUCUUCUGUGUGUGAGCACUGUGAACACAAGAUGGCGACUUGUUAGAAUCUUCUUUGCGACUACAUCAAGCCUUAAGUUAAGUUGUGGGGUUGCGUGUGGCUCUCGAGGCCUUCAGCCAAUUAGCUAACAAUUACGACUAAAUUGUUAAAAUGUGCUUAAACUUUAUCAUCCGCUAAAAGUUCACUUUUUGCGCCAAUUCAACUUGUGCUCAACGCAACACUGUUGCGCUCUCGAAUUUUCCGCUUCUGCUUUCGCUUUUUUUUGUCAGAAAAUUAACACAAACUCUUUUAGAGAAUAUCGCGGGAAGUGGUUUUUGCUGUAUUUUUCCAGGUGAAUUUCGAUGUGAAUUUGACCGGAUCCUUGUCUGCAAAGAGAAGAGACGCAGAGGAUUAAGGCACUGAUGGACUAAACUCGGAAAGUGCGUCACACUCACCGCACAACACUAGUCCAAUUAAUUAAUGUAUCAAACUAAAAUGCUGGUCCUUUUGCUCUCUUUCAGAUGAUGAUUCCUUUCGCUGGCUUCCCGGUUAAGGCACACUCAACUGCAAACACUCAACUUUGGAUUGAUGGCCAAUGUCUUGAUUUCCACACUCUGGCACUUGAAUGGUGAAUUUGGGAUAUGAUCGGGUGCGGACUUGAGAUGUUGAACGAGGCAAGGAUCCGAUCAAACUGAUGCUGCUACUCGACUGUCGCAGCCAGCAAACGUUCCAUCCGCAAUUCUCGCCAUCGGCCGCAAACCAGAUCCACCGGUUCGCCCUCCGCUUGGCGUCACACCUGGACCAGAGCCGGGAUGCUGCCGCGAGAUGAAACGGGUUUUUCCAGAUCGCCAGUGACCGUUGUCCAUUCAAUCGCCACCGGUGAAGCUGUGCGAAUCUCCUGACAAUUGAUGAUGAGAUUCAUCAACCGUCCCGUCUCAAGGACUGUGCCCUCUUCCCAUAGCUUCUGGACCAUUCUCCAGUCGUCUUUUGUACUGUGAAAUAUCCAGCUUUGCCAGCUCCAAAUGGAAGCCCAGAGUUUAAUCAUGAGAGUUUGGCAAACAGUAUUAUUUCUUCGGUCCAAACAUAUCGCUUGAAAUGGCCAAAGUUGCAAUCGCUUUGAGAUUUUGUCCACCUUAUUGGAGAGUGCCUUCCAGUGUAAAUGUCCAUCAAUUAAUUCAACGAGAGAAACUUCCCAUUCAUCUUUGUGAUGCGCUAAAGAAGGAGAAAAAUGGCGUAAUCCCAUGGGUAACAAAUGUCUCUUGAAAAUGUAAAUCUUCUUACGGGGCAUAGAGUGGAAAGUUGGGGUGAUUCACCACUGCUUUGGGGCGUGAGAUGAUGGAGUGGGAUCUGGCCAAAAGAAAAGGGUGUUUCUGUGGUUUUCCUUGCUAAAACACACACAGAAACACGCAACCCUUCUGGCCAGGAAGACACAUUUCGGCCAUAAGAGAGAAUACAAUGAAUUGGGGAUGUCAUCUUGGCCAAUUUGUAAUAGAGGCAAAACCCAUGGAGCCGAGAGGGAUCCCAGAAUCGCCACAGUUGAAUCUGUAUCUCGUGUGUGAUAUCAUAAUCCUUAUAGAUGGUUUGUAAACACCAAAUAAAAGUCCUCCCACUGGGAUAUUCAGUUAUCAUCCCUUCUCCACCAUAUUUGCUGUGUUAUUUUGCAUGUCUUGCCAAAGGGACAUAUGCACGGAAACAUGCUCCAUCGCACUGUGAGAAAGUGAGAAAAUUUUCUCCGUCCGUGUGCAAUUUGGGGCCCUUUUCCCACGACUCAAUUCACCGAGUUGACGAUAUACAAGCAAUUCUCACAUUUGUAUGCUUGUUAUUUGGAAAUACAAUAUAAUAAUAAAUAUAGCAAUUGUCGAGGAGAAUGGAAAAUGGACGACGAAACAAUAAAC